UCGCGACGGUUGUAACGGGCUCGAGGAGAGUACCGGGUCAUGACAAAAGGAAAAAAGGAGAAAGGAGGAAAUGCUUGCAAAAGGCUCAGCUUUGGAGGGACUAGAGAAAAUCGAGAGGUUUUCUUCCCCACCCACAUGCCAUUGUUGAAGUUUAGAGAGAUUUGGUGGUUCGGUUUAGAAAUUCCAAGCAAGAACCUUCAAGGAUUCAAGGAACCCGGGGCAUGCAUGUAGAUAGAUCUUGGAAUACAUGGUGAUUUUGGAGCUAAAUUGACAAUGGCAAUGGUGGCUGAGAGUGUGAAUAAAUUGUGAACUAUGUGUAUGGAACUCAAGCUAAAACUGAAAGGUGAGCAUGCAAUGUCAGUAUAGUAUAUUGUGUUGGCUUUGGUUGGUUGGAAGUGUGUGGGUUGUGUGUUAUAUGAUUGUGAAUAAGGUUGAUGAAAAUUAUGAAAUUGGUUAAGGAUUUAUUCGGUGAUAUGCUACCAUGCAUAUGAAUAAAUAAGUAUAUUGGGUUUGCAUUGUUGCUAGGAAGUGUGUAAGUGAGGAAAGUGUGCAGUGGUCGCGUGCCGGAGGAAGUGAAGGGUGAUCGGCAAGUAAAAUUAGUUAGAUACGCACUUGAAUCAAUAGCGACAUAAUAUCCCACCAUUGUAAGAUAGUGAUCAGCCAUGCGUGCAAUCAUCGACACUUAUGGUCCACCACAGAUAGGUAAAGGCAUCUCAUAACACUUUAUUCCGAGUCGCUCCACUACUAGAGGUCAAGUCAUUUAUAGCUUGAUGUAUUUGUAAAAUGUGUCAAUGUAAAUCUGCAGUUAGUUACUAUAGACUUUAAUGUAUUCUUACGAUUAUGGUGGAUAAAGGAUAAGAUGGUUUAAUAUGAUUUAUGUUCAAUUCUUAUUACAAAGAGGUAUAUGGUUCAAAGUAAUUUCAUGGAUUGAUGGCAUAUUAACUAAAGUUUCAAUCAAGGCUUGUUCGGGACUUGACGAUUUCCUCCGCAAAACUCGAACGCCGGUAGCGAUUGAGGAGCCGUCAUUACACAAGGUCCUGACUUGUGAAUACUUCUACAAAGUAAUAGCACUUCCACAUUCUUGCAAUGACUUGGGAGAACUUUCUUAAUUAUUUUUGCAUACAAUUAUUCUCUCACGUUCAAUUACAAGUCAUUAAAUAGUUAAACAAUGCAAUUUCUAGUAAAAUAGGCAAAUAAAAACUACCUUAGAAUAAAGAAGUGAAGGCUCUUUUAUCACAAAUCUUUGAGAGUUUGCUA